rnacentral:rRNA from 1 species
AGUGAACGCUGGCGGUAGGCCUAACACAUGCAAGUCGAACGGCAGCACAGUAAGAGCUUGCUCUUACGGGUGGCGAGUGGCGGACGGGUGAGGAAUACAUCGGAAUCUACUUUUUCGUGGGGAUAACGUAGGGAAACUUACGCUCAUACCGCAUACGACCUACGGGUGAAAGCAGGGGAUCUUCGGACCUUGCGCGAUUGAAUGAGCCGACGUCGGAUUAGCUAGUUGGCGGGGUAAAGGCCCACCAAGGCGACGAGCCGUAGCUGGUCGGAGAGGAGGAUCAGCCACACUAGAACUGAGACACGGUCCAGACUCCUAAGGGAGGCAGCAGUGGGGAAUAUUGGACAAUGGGCGCAAGCCUGAUCCAGCCAUACCGCGUGGGUGAAGAAGGCCUUCGGGUUGUAAAGCCCUUUUGUUGGGAAAGAAAAGCAGCAGGUUAAGACCCCGCUGUUCUGACGGUACCCAAAGAAUAAGCACCGGCUAACUUCGUG